ACCUUGCUGACGAGUGCCAAAUAGCACGAAACCCGGGUCCAAUGAU
rfam:Schistosoma margrebowiei strain Zambia genome assembly, scaffold: SMRZ_scaffold0002412